UCCGAGUUGACCCCGGCAGUCUCCCAUGAGUCCCCGGCAUUAUCCGCUGGCAACAUGGAACGAGGGUUGCGCUCGUUGAGGGACUUAACCCGACAUGCCACCACACGAGCUGACGACAGCCAUGCAGCACCUGUCUCUCUGUCGUAUUGCUACGAAAGCCUGAUCUCUCAGGUUGUCAGAGGGUGUCAAACCCAGGUAAGGUUCUGCGCGUUGCUUCGAAUUAAACCACAUAAUCCACCGCUUGUGCGGGCUCCCGUCAAUUCCUUUGAGUUUUAGUCUUGCGACCGUACUUCCCAGGCGGGGUACUUAUUGCGUUAGCUCCGGAUCGGCAGGGGUCAAUACCCACCAAUCCUAGUACCCAUCGUUUACAGCGUGGACUAC
rnacentral:misc_RNA from 1 species